rnacentral:misc_RNA from 1 species
GAUGAAGAACGCAGCGAAAUGCGAUAAGUAGUGUGAAUUGCAGAAUUCAGUGAAUCAUCGAAUCUUUGAACGCACAUUGCGCCCCUUGGUAUUCCAUGGGGCAUGCCUGUUCGAGCGUCAUUUGUACCUUCAAGCUCUGCUUGGUGUUGGGUGUUUGUCUCGCCUCUGCGUGUAGACUCGCCUCAAAACAAUUGGCAGCCGGCGUAUUGAUUUCGGAGCGCAGUACAUCUCGCGCUUUGCACUCAUAACGACGACGUCCAAAAGUACAUUUUUACACUCUUGACCUCGGAUCAGGUAGGGAUACCCGCUGAACUUAAGCAUAUCAAUAAGCGGAAGA